CCCUUAGACGUUCUGGGCCGCACGCGCGCUACACUGACCAGUGCAACAAGCAUCCGUCCUUGGCCGACAGGCCCGGGCAAUCUUUGAACGCUGGUCGUGAUGGGGAUAGACUUUUGCAAUUUUUGGUCUUCAACGAGGAAUUCCUAGUAAACGCAAGUCAUCAACUUGCAUUGAUUACGUCCCUGCCCUUUGUACACACCGCCCGUCGCACCUACCGAUUGAAUGGUCCGGUGAAGCCUCCGGAUUGGCGCGCACCUCGGUGCCGCCGAGAAGUUGGCUAAACCUUACCAUUUAGAGGAAGGGGAAGUCGUAACA
rnacentral:rRNA from 1 species